AAUCCUUAGAGUGCCCUCCAGAUGCUCCCUAACAAUAUCUGUUCGGGUACAACAACCACAUACAGCGCAAAAAUGAACCAUUUUAAUACAAAAUUAUUAUAAAGUUUUACAAAAUUUGCUUUGUUUACAAAAGUUAUAUUAUGCAUAGAUUGCUAAUUUGUCCUCCAGAUGCAUCGUCACCGGCGCUGUGACGUCAUGUGCAAUGGGUCUAUA